rnacentral:misc_RNA from 1 species
UUCUAGCCCCGGUUGGAGCAAUUGUUUGAGCUCUUUUUUGGUUGCGGCGGCGGCUUCGCCGCCGCAACCAAAAAAAGCGAGUGCGGAAAACGGGUUGCAGU